AUCCAGUUUGGAUGGGUGUUAUUGCUCCUCUCCCUGCUCUCAUCCAUGCUAGGCUGCAUGGAUGCGCAGAGAGUUCUUGUCCAGAACAAAACCAUACCGCCAAUCCAAACUGUAUGCUAAUUGUCAAUCAUCUUUGACGAUAGUGGUCCUG